rnacentral:rRNA from 1 species
CCCGUGUCAAUCUUCCAAUGUUGCUUUGGCGGAUCGGAGUUCGCUCCCCACCGCCAGAGGCCCCAUCAAUUCCGUUAUCAGUGUCGUCCGAGUAUAUAUAUAAUCGUUAAAACUUUCAACAACGGAUCUCUUGGCUCUGGCAUCGAUGAAGAACGCAGCGAAAUGCGAUAAGUAAUGUGAAUUGCAGAAUUCCGUGAAUCAUCGAAUCUUUGAACGCACAUUGCGCCCUUUGGUAUUCCGAAGGGCAUGCCUGUUCGAGCGUCAUUACAACCCUCAAGCACAGCUUGGUAUUGGGUCUCGUCCCCGUGACGGGCCCGAAAUUCCGUGGCGGUCCAGCGAAGCUUGGAAGUGCAGACAAUAUUGCAUCUUUCUUCGCAAGCACUCCCUGCAGGCCGGCCAGACAACCCCCCAAUUUUUUCAAUGGUUGACCUCGGAUCAGGUAGGGAUACCCGCUGAACUUAAGCAUAUCAAUAAGCGGAGGAAAAGAAACCAACAGGGAUUGCCUCAGUAACGGCGAGUGAAGCGGCAACAGCUCAAAUUUGAAAUCUGGCCCUUUUGGGGUCCGAGUUGUAAUUUGUAGAGGGUGUUUCGGGCGAGGCGCCGGCCUAAGUUCUUUGGAACAGGACGUCAUAGAGGGUGAGAAUCCCGUAUGCGGCCGGUGACCGACCCCAUGUGAAACCCCUUCGACGAGUCGAGUUGUUUGGGAAUGCAGCUCAAAAUGGGUGGUAUAUUUCAUCUAAAGCUAAAUACCGGCCAGAGACCGAUAGCGCACAAGUAGAGUGAUCGAAAGAUGAAAAGCACUUUGGAAAGAGAGUUAAACAGUACGUGAAAUUGUUGAAAGGGAAGCGCUUGCAACCAGAUCCGUCUCCGGGUGAUCAGCCUCCGUUUUCGGGGGUGCACUCGCCCGGUGAUGGGCCAGCAUCGGUUCGGGCGGUCGGAUAAAGGCCAGAGGAAUGUAGCUUCC